GGAGAGCUGUCCGAGUGGUCGAUGGUGACUGACUUGAAAUCAGUUGGGUGUCACAGCCCCAGAGGUUCGAAUCCUCUGCUCUCCGCCA
rnacentral:tRNA from 1 species